rnacentral:rRNA from 1 species
AACGAACGCUGGCGGCAUGCCUAACACAUGCAAGUCGAACGAAGUCUUCGGACUUAGUGGCGCACGGGUGCGUAACGCGUGGGAAUAUACCAAUCAGUGGGGAAUAACUUUGGGAAACUAAAGCUAAUACCGCAUACGCCCGAGAGGGGAAAGAUUUAUCGCUGAUUGAUUAGCCCGCGUGAGAUUAGGUAGUUGGUGGGGUAAUGGCCUACCAAGCCUACGAUCUCUAGCUGGUCUGAGAGGAUGAUCAGCCACACUGGAACUGAGACACGGUCCAGACUCCUACGGGAGGCAGCAGUGGGGAAUAUUGGACAAUGGGCGAAAGCCUGAUCCAGCAAUGCCGCGUGAGUGAUGAAGGCCUUAGGGUUGUAAAGCUCUUUUACCCGAGAUGAUAAUGACAGUAUCGGGAGAAUAAGCUCCGGCUAACUCCGUGCCAGCAGCCGCGGUAAU